GUGGGGAAUAUUGGACAAUGGGCGAAAGCCUGAUCCAGCCAUGCCGCGUGAGUGAUGAAGGUCUUCGGAUCGUAAAGCUCUGUGGGAAGGGACGAAACAGUGCGACCUAAUACGUCGCACCUUGACGGUACCUUCUUAGCAAGCACCGGCUAACUCCGUGCCAGCAGCCGCGGUAAUACGGAGGGUGCAAACGUUGCUCGGAAUCAUUGGGCGUAAAGCGCACGCAGGCGGUUCGUUAAGUCGGAUGUGAAAGCCCUCGGCUUAACCGAGGAAGUGCAUCCGAAACUGGCGAGCUAGAGUACGGAAGAGGGUUUCGGAAUUCCCGGUGUAGAGGUGAAAUUCGUAGAUAUCGGGAGGAACACCAGUGGCGAAGGCGGAAACCUGGGCCGAUACUGACGCUGAGGUGCGAAAGCGUGGGGAGCAAACAGGAUUAGAUACCCUUGUAGUCC
rnacentral:rRNA from 1 species